UUCGCUUUUAAGUUACAAAAGUUCAGACAUGAUGGUAGACAGGAUAAGCACCCCUGGCGUCGCCGGCCGCAGGGGCCAGGCGACAGCCAAGCGGCUCAAAGGCAUGUUCACAUGGAUUCCAGAGAUUGGGGGUGACCCCCAGUUCAGAAUAUGAUCCUUCCGCAGGUUCACCUACGGAAA
rnacentral:misc_RNA from 1 species